rnacentral:rRNA from 1 species
GGUUAAGCGACUAAGCGUACACGGUGGAUGCCCUGGCAGUCAGAGGCGAUGAAGGACGUGCUAAUCUGCGAAAAGCGUCGGUAAGGUGAUAUGAACCGUUACAGCCGGCGAUGUCCGAAUGGGGAAACCCAGUGCAAUUCGUUGCACUAUCGUUAACUGAAUACAUAGGUUAACGAGGCGAACCGGGGGAACUGAAACAUCUAAGUACCCCGAGGAAAAGAAAUCAACCGAGAUUCCCCCAGUAGCGGCGAGCGAACGGGGAGCAGCCCGGAGUCUGAAUCAGCUUGUGUGUUAGUGGAAGCGUCUGGAAAGUCGCAGGGUACAGGGUGAUACUCCCGUACACUAAAACACACAGGUUGUGAACUCGAAGAGUAGGGCGGGACACGUGGUAUCCUGUCUGAAUAUGGGGGGACCAUCCUCCAAGGCUAAAUACUCCUGACUGACCGAUAGUGAACCAGUACCGUGAGGGAAAGGCGAAAAGAACCCCGGCGAGGGGAGUGAAAAAGAACCUGAAACCGUGUACGUACAAGCAGUAGGAGCCCACUUGUUGGGUGACUGCGUACCUUUUGUAUAAUGGGUCAGCGACUUAUAUUCUGUAGCAAGGUUAACCGUAUAGGGGAGCCGCAGGGAAACCGAGUCUUAACUGGGCGUUAAGUUGCAGGGUAUAGACCCGAAACCCGGUGAUCUAGCCAUGGGCAGGUUGAAGGUUGGGUAACACUAACUGGAGGACCGAACCGACUAAUGUUGAAAAAUUAGCGGAUGACUUGUGGCUGGGGGUGAAAGGCCAAUCAAACCGGGAGAUAGCUGGUUCUCCCCGAAAGCUAUUUAGGUAGCGCCUCGUGAACUCAUCUUCGGGGGUAGAGCACUGUUUCGGCUAGGGGGUCAUCCCGACUUACCAACCCGAUGCAAACUACGAAUACCGAAGAAUGUUAUCACGGGAGACACACGGCGGGUGCUAACGUCCGUCGUGAAGAGGGAAACAACCCAGACCGCCAGCUAAGGUCCCAAAGUCAUGGUUAAGUGGGAAACGAUGUGGGAAGGCCCAGACAGCCAGGAUGUUGGCUUAGAAGCAGCCAUCAUUUAAAGAAAGCGUAAUAGCUCACUGGUCGAGUCGGCCUGCGCGGAAGAUGUAACGGGGCUAAACCAUGCACCGAAGCUGCGGCAGCGACACUAUGUGUUGUUGGGUAGGGGAGCGUUCUGUAAGCCGUUGAAGGUGGCCUGUGAGGGUUGCUGGAGGUAUCAGAAGUGCGAAUGCUGACAUAAGUAACGAUAAUGCGGGUGAAAAACCCGCACGCCGGAAGACCAAGGGUUCCUGUCCAACGUUAAUCGGGGCAGGGUGAGUCGACCCCUAAGGCGAGGCCGAAAGGCGUAGUCGAUGGGAAACAGGUUAAUAUUCCUGUACUCGGUGUUACUGCGAAGGGGGGACGGAGAAGGCUAUGUUGGCCGGGCGACGGUUGUCCCGGUUUAAGCAUGUAGGCGGAUGUUCCAGGUAAAUCCGGAACGUCACUAACGCUGAGGUGUGAUGACGAGGCACUACGGUGCUGAAGUGACAAAUGCCCUGCUUCCAGGAAAAGCCUCUAAGCAUCAGGUAACAUCAAAUCGUACCCCAAACCGACACAGGUGGUCAGGUAGAGAAUACCAAGGCGCUUGAGAGAACUCGGGUGAAGGAACUAGGCAAAAUGGUGCCGUAACUUCGGGAGAAGGCACGCUGAUGGUAAGUGAAGUGACUUGCUCAUGGAGCUGAAAUCAGUCGAAGAUACCAGCUGGCUGCAACUGUUUAUUAAAAACACAGCACUGUGCAAACACGAAAGUGGACGUAUACGGUGUGACGCCUGCCCGGUGCCGGAAGGUUAAUUGAUGGGGUUAUCCUCGCGGAGAAGCUCUUGAUCGAAGCCCCGGUAAACGGCGGCCGUAACUAUAACGGUCCUAAGGUAGCGAAAUUCCUUGUCGGGUAAGUUCCGACCUGCACGAAUGGCGUAAUGAUGGCCAGGCUGUCUCCACCCGAGACUCAGUGAAAUUGAACUCGCUGUGAAGAUGCAGUGUACCCGCGGCAAGACGGAAAGACCCCGUGAACCUUUACUAUAGCUUGACACUGAACACUGGUCCUUGAUGUGUAGGAUAGGUGGGAGGCUUUGAAGUGUGGACGCCAGUCUGCAUGGAGCCAUCCUUGAAAUACCACCCUUUAAUGGCUGGUGUUCUAACGUGGGCCCGUAAUCCGGGUUGCGGACAGUGUCUGGUGGGUAGUUUGACUGGGGCGGUCUCCUCCUAAAGAGUAACGGAGGAGCACGAAGGUCAGCUAAUCCUGGUCGGACAUCAGGAGGUUAGUGCAAUGGCAUAAGCUGGCUUGACUGCGAGCGUGACGGCGCGAGCAGGUGCGAAAGCAGGUCAUAGUGAUCCGGUGGUUCUGAAUGGAAGGGCCAUCGCUCAACGGAUAAAAGGUACUCCGGGGAUAACAGGCUGAUACCGCCCAAGAGUUCAUAUCGACGGCGGUGUUUGGCACCUCGAUGUCGGCUCAUCACAUCCUGGGGCUGAAGUAGGUCCCAAGGGUAUGGCUGUUCGCCAUUUAAAGUGGUACGCGAGCUGGGUUUAGAACGUCGUGAGACAGUUCGGUCCCUAUCUGCCGUGGGCGCUGGAGAAUUGAGGGGGGCUGCUCCUAGUACGAGAGGACCGGAGUGGACGCAUCACUGGUGUUCGGGUUGUCAUGCCAAUGGCAUUGCCCGGUAGCUAAAUGCGGAAGAGAUAAGUGCUGAAAGCAUCUAAGCACGAAACUUGCCCCGAGAUGAGUUCUCCCUGACUCCUUGAGAGUCCUGAAGGAACGUUGAAGACGACGACGUUGAUAGGCCGGGUGUGUAAGCGCAGCGAUGCGUUGAGCUAACCGGUACUAAUGAACCGUGAGGCUUAACCUU